rnacentral:rRNA from 1 species
GUUCCUGUCCAACGUUAAUCGGGGCAGGGUGAGUCGACCCCUAAGGCGAGGCCGAAAGGCGUAGUCGAUGGGAAACAGGUUAAUAUUCCUGUACUUGGUGUUACUGCGAAGGGGGGACGGAGAAGGCUAUGUUAGCCGGGCGACGGUUGUCCCGGUUUAAGCAUGUAGGCUGGUUAUCCAGGCAAAUCCGGAUAAUCAAGGCUGAGGUGUGAUGACGAGGCACUACGGUGCUGAAGUAACAAAUGCCCUGCUUCCAGGAAAAGCCUCUAAGCAUCAGGUAACAUCAAAUCGUACCCCAAACCGACACAGGUGGUCAGGUAGAGAAUACCAAGGCGCUUGAGAGAACUCGGGUGAAGGAACUAGGCAAAAUGGUGCCGUAACUUCGGGAGAAGGCACGCUGGUGUGUAGGUGAAGUCCCUGCGGAUGGAGCUGAGACCAGUCGAAGAUACCAGCUGGCUGCAACUUUUUAUUAAAAACACAGCACUGUGAAAAUACCAAAGUGCACGUAUAAGGUGUGAAGCCUGCCCGGUGCCGGAAGG